UUUGUACUCCCUCCGUCCAACAGAAAAUGUCUCAUGUUUAUUAAAUUUUAAAUGUAUCUAGACAUGACUUAGUGUAUAGAUGCAUUCAAAUUUAGUCAAAGUUGAGACAUCCUUUGUUGGACAGAGGAAGUAUGAA
rfam:Brachypodium distachyon strain Bd21 chromosome 3, whole genome shotgun sequence.